rnacentral:rRNA from 1 species
UACGUAGGGUGCAAGCGUUUAAUCGGAAUUACUGGGCGUAAAGCGUGCGCAGGCGGUUUUGUAAGUCUGUCGUGAAAGCCCCCGGGCUCAACCUGGGAAUUGCGAUGGAGACUGCAAGGCUUGAAUCUGGCAGAGGGGGGGUAGAAUUCCACGUGUAGCAGUGAAAUGCGUAGAGAUGUGGAGGAACACCGAUGGCGAAGGCAGCCCCCUGGGUCAAGAUUGACGCUCAUGCAUCGAAAGCGUGGGGAGCAAACAGG